UCCGCAGGCGGGCAAUUAAGUCAGAGGUGAAAUCCCACAGCUCAACUGUGGAACUGCCUUUGAUACUGGUUGUCUUGAGUUAUAGUGAAGGAGAUAGAAUAUGUAGUGUAGCGGUGAAAUGCAUAGAUAUUACAUAGAAUACCGAUUGCGAAGGCAGUCUACUAACUAUAUACUGACGCUGAUGGACGAAAGCGUGGGGAGCGAACAGGAUUAGAUACCCUGGUAGUC
rnacentral:rRNA from 1 species